GGAGGAGUGGCCGAGUCCGGUUUAAGGCGGCGGUCUUGAAAACCGUAGUGGGUAACACCACCGUGGGUUCGAAUCCUACCUCCUCCG
rnacentral:tRNA from 1 species